GACUGGCUGCCCUGGAGGAGGGAGAAGAGCAUGUGUCAGGGGAGUGUUGGUGAGCUCCCGGUUGAGCACUGCCAGACUGAGGCCCUGAUAGAAGGGCAGAGAAGGCGCUAGGGGUGCAGGGAAGUGGCCUAGGGAAACAGAUGGCAGGGGUUUGAGGUGAUACAGUGUGUGGCUGCUGGCUAGAGGGUCCCUGGGCUGGAACCCAGAGUAGCAGGUGGGCCCAGGUACUACUGAUGCAGGUGGCUAGACCCUGGACUGUAGCGUGCCACUGAGGCAAGUGGCUGGACAGAGGACUACCAGCCCCCUGGAAGGAGGGGGAGAGAACUGAGUGGGGCACAGCCAGAGGGCUGUGUCCAGAAGAGAAUACCAUGUUCCUGAGAGUGACACUGCUUCUGAUGGCAGAAGCAUUGGUGGUGAGAUGCCACUAGGUGAAGGCACACUGGUGAACUAGAGCUAAUUCCCAGGAUGGCCAGCAGGAGGCACCGCCGUGAAAAUGGAGAAAUCUGAAGCAGAAGAGAAGCAAGAGGAAUCUGAGAUUGUGUUGUACAAAGGCCUUACCACCAUAUUGUAGCAGCAAUAUGCUUGGCAGAUUCUCAGCUUGCGCUCCUGAAAGGAGUUCUGUAUUCUGCAACCUUUAUCUUUUCCAGUGUGCCCAACUUCAUGAAAUUUGAAGCAUUUACGCCAUGGGAAGUACAUCCUAUUGCAGUAAUACGUUCAUUAUGAUGUCUCGUGCUGCUUUCCUUUAUUGGCUUUGUCAGUCUGCCAAUCAAAUACUUUCCCACUUCCAACCUUCUCUACUAAUAUACUCUGCUAUAUGGAUGUUCUCUUCUGUAUUAAUGUUCUUGUGUGUGUUUG